UUAAGUUCAGCGGGUAGUCCUACCUGAUUUGAGGUCAGAGUCUAAAAGUGCACAAUGGCAGGUUAGGAGCAGACUCAGACAGCAAGGGACAAGACGAAACUUAUUACGUCUGUCACGGAUGCAGAGAGAUCCACUAAGUCAUUUGAGGCGAGCCAUGUAACCGGCAGCACCCAAGUCCAAGUCCCAACCCAGAUCAUAAA
rnacentral:misc_RNA from 1 species